rnacentral:lncRNA from 1 species
GUAAUUUAAUAUGAAUGAAGUGUGCAGUGUGGUUUGAGGGUGAUAGAUAUCAGUGAUUAAGAUUGGGACACAGGGAAGACCUUGCGAAGGUCACACUCGUGACACCCAAGUGAAUCCAGGAGUACUCAGGAGAAAAGCCAAGGAUACAGAUGUGUCUUGUGAAUCCACUGACACUCAGGGAAUUCCAGCACUGUGGAAAGACGCGCACGUCAGCUCGUGUUCAAGGCACGGUUCUCUCAGCACGUGGGACUUAGGUGGCUUGAGAAGCUGCAGAAUACUUAGUGUGAGCCGGCCUGAGAGAAGCCGCUAUAGCAGACCCCAGAGGGCCACACAGUUAGUGAGAGCUGAUGUCUCACAAACCAGAGGAGGCUGAAGACGAAUCUGACUGGCUGUAAUUAUGGCUGUGGGCACUGGCAAGAGGAUCACUAACGAGACAAGAGCCACAUUCCGGGGCUCACGAGGACGUGAAGAGAGGCACCAAGACCCACAUGCAGACCGAGGAUCCUGCACGCACCACUGUAAUCUGCUCCACAUCCAGACUCCAUCUACACGAACCUAAGAGAAGGGAAAGAGGUGAGAGAGACUGAGCACACAUCUUCAGAAGGCUUCACAAUGCGAAAGAAACUAUUUUAAACCCAGGUGAUCGAUGAGUCUCUGUCAUAGUUAAUCCGCCUCACCCCCA